CAGUCGCCACGGUAACACGUAGGUGGCAAGCGCUGUCCGGAAUUAUUGGGCGUAAAGGGCUCGCAGGCGGUUUCUUAAGUCUGAUGUGAAAGCCCCCGGCUCAACCGGGGAGGGUCAUUGGAAACUGGGAAACUUGAGUGCAGAAGAGGAGAGUGGAAUUCCACGUGUAGCGGUGAAAUGCGUAGAGAUGUGGAGGAACACCAGUGGCGAAGGCGACUCUCUGGUCUGUAACUGACGCUGAGGAGCGAAAGCGUGGGGAGCGAACAGGAUUAGAUACCCCGGUAGUCCCUGUCUCUUAUAC
rnacentral:rRNA from 1 species